GGCGCAGUGGCAGAGUGGUCUAAUGCGAUAGACUAGAACGCCUUCCAGGUUUCUAGCUCAUCUAUUCCCUUCGGGGGCGUCUGUUCGAAUCAGGCCUGCGUCG
rnacentral:tRNA from 1 species